rnacentral:rRNA from 1 species
UACGAAGGGGGGCUAGCGUUGCUCGGAAUCACUGGGCGUAAAGCGCACGUAGGCGGCUUUUUAAGUCAGGGGUGAAAUCCUGGAGCUCAACUCCAGAACUGCCUUUGAUACUGGGAAGCUUGAGUCCGGGAGAGGUGAGUGGAACUCCGAGUGUAGAGGUGAAAUUCGUAGAUAUCGGGAGGAACACCAGUGGCGAAGGCGGCGAUCUGGGAAGAUACUGACGCUGAGGUGCGAAAGCGUGGGGAGCAAACAGG